AUUGAACGCUGGCGGCAGGCCUAACACGAUGCAAGUCGAACGGUAACAGGAAGCAGCUUGCUGCUUGCUGACGAGUGGCGGACGGGUGAGGUAAUGUCUGGGAAACUGCCUGAUGAGGGGGAUAACUACUGGAAACGGUAGCUAAUACCGCAUAACGUCGCAAGACCAAAGAGGGGGACCUUCGGGCCUCUUGCCAUCAGAUGUGCCCAGAUGGGAUUAGCUUGUUGGUGGGGUAACGGCUCACCAAGGCGACGAUCCCUAGCUGGUCUGAGAGGAUGACCAGCCACACUGGAACUGAGACACGGUCCAGACUCCUACGGGAGGCAGCAGUGGGGAAUAUUGCACAAUGGGCGCAAGCCUGAUGCAGCCAUGCCGCGUGUAUGAAGAAGGCCUUCGGGUUGUAAAGUACUUUCAGCGGGGAGGAAGGUGUUGUGGUUAAUAACCACAGCAAUUGACGUUACCCGCAGAAGAAGCACCGGCUAACUCCGUGCCAGCCGCCGC
rnacentral:rRNA from 1 species